rnacentral:lncRNA from 1 species
GUCUUCUCUCAGCGACGUCGUAAAGAACUGAGGAUGAGCAGAGCGGGGCUGCGGGUUGUGCUCCCCGCCAACAUCACCAGGGGUCCAUCUCCAACCCCCGUCUUGGGGGAGACUGCCAGACACCGCUUACAGGUUCCCGGUGGGGGCGAGAACAACUCAGCUGCAGGC